rnacentral:misc_RNA from 1 species
UUAUGCAAUUUUUUUAAUGGUUCAAGGAUAAUUACCUAUUCUAAAACAAAAAGUUACUAUUUUUACAUGCUUGCAUGGGGGUUUUAGUGGUUAGAGAUUACUGAUGCAUUUGGGAUUCACAUUUAUCGGCUUUCAUUAUGGAGGCAAGCCCUUCAACAGCUCCUCCAUGCAUCUUGUUUGGCCUGUGGUUUGUCUAGCAGCAAUUUGGUUCCUUUAUCUUUUUAACCUUUUUUUGAUCCUCGUCCUAUUGUAAAUGAUCAUAUCAUUGAUUUUACAGUGAGUAGUUUUCUUAUCGGAAAGACUCAAAG